rnacentral:rRNA from 2 species
CGAACGCUGGCGGCGUGCUUAACACAUGCAAGUCGAACGAUGAAGCCUUUCGGGGUGGAUUAGUGGCGAACGGGUGAGUAACACGUGGGCAAUCUGCCCUUCACUCUGGGACAAGCCCUGGAAACGGGGUCUAAUACCGGAUAACACUCUGUCCCGCAUGGGACGGGGUUAAAAGCUCCGGCGGUGAAGGAUGAGCCCGCGGCCUAUCAGCUUGUUGGUGGGGUAAUGGCCUACCAAGGCGACGACGGGUAGCCGGCCUGAGAGGGCGACCGGCCACACUGGGACUGAGACACGGCCCAGACUCCUACGGGAGGCAGCAGUGGGGAAUAUUGCACAAUGGGCGAAAGCCUGAUGCAGCGACGCCGCGUGAGGGAUGACGGCCUUCGGGUUGUAAACCUCUUUCAGCAGGGAAGAAGCGAAAGUGACGGUACCUGCAGAAGAAGCGCCGGCUAACUACGUGCCAGCAGCCGCGGUAAUACGUAGGGCGCAAGCGUUGUCCGGAAUUAUUGGGCGUAAAGAGCUCGUAGGCGGCUUGUCACGUCGGAUGUGAAAGCCCGGGGCUUAACCCCGGGUCUGCAUUCGAUACGGGCUAGCUAGAGU